rnacentral:tRNA from 1 species
UCCCUGCUGGUCCAGUGGUUAGGACUCCAGCUUUCACUGCAGGGGGCCCAGGUUCAAUCCCUGGUCGAGGGA